rnacentral:piRNA from 1 species
UUGUUCCUGAACUGGUGAGAGA